GCCUCCGGAUACGGGCGCGUGCACUCGUCCCUACCGGCUUGCAACCCCCUCCGUGUUACCGCUCGUGCUCUUGCCUCUUCGCGAAGUUUCCCUAUGGAUCCAUGCUAGAGCACCGGCUGCACCACCGAUUUUCAACAACGCUGAUUGCCCGGGGCUGCCUGGGAUUGUAGCUCCAUCUCUUCGCGAUAACAUGAAAUGUCACGAUCAGGGGAUGCACUUUCAUUCCGUCGAUGCAAUUUCAGUUAAUUUAAUUACUCACCGUCAAUAUUUCUACUUCCAGCUUUGUUGUUUGAUUGCAAUUUUAAUUAACGAUAAUAAAAAGAUUUCUUUUACAGCUCUAUUUUUUAUUUAAAAAAACCUACUCAGUUUGAAGUUCGUUUAUUUUUCUUCCCCUUUCCCCACUUUUAAUUAGAAAAUAUAUCGAUGAAAUUUAUAAUUUAGGGAAAACUUUAACAAAUACGAACGAAAAAUACGCGUGUUUCGAUACAACGACUCGUUUUAACCAUUAUAGUGGUAACAGUGUAUUUUCUAGGAAUAUUUGUUGUAUGCAUCGUACCGUUCACGGUUAACCUCGCGAUGCAACACCCUUUCCUAUCCGCAGUCCCGUCAACGACCUCUGUCUGCAUAUAGGGUGCCUAACAAACGCAUUCGUCGGUACUCUUUUUCGUGGUGCGUGUAGUCACUGCAGCACAUCGGCGAAAGGAAAUGCAACAGGAAGGAAAUUUACGACUCUCGAGAAAUAAUAGCAAGGUAUCGUUCGAGUCGUAAACCGUAGUUGGAUCGUUUGAGACUCCUAUCACGCCGUAAAUUAGAUACGACGUCAAGAGUAGUUCAAAGGAAAUCUCAGCUACUCCUAGGUACCGAUAUAAAAGUGAGAUUCUUCUUAAAACGUCACGAUUUUAUAUGAUUUAAUUGCCUAUUUUUACAAUUUCACGAAUUUUACAAUUGUUAUUUGUUCCAUCAAUUUUUACUCAUCUUAUCGAUAAUCAUUAAUCAAAUCAAACGCGUAUAUAUUAAAAUUAAAUAUGGUAAACGAAUAUUCCUUAUGAGAUCAAAUAUCCAUUAAAAUAUUUCGACCACGUCCGAUUCAAGAAAGAUGCAAAAGUUCUGUUUUUAUCCAAUUUAAUAUGAUCGAAUCUCGCGAUAUAAAUUUAUACAGUAUCGCCGAUGAAACGAGAAAAACAGAGUUUUUUAUUGCGAUCGAUAUUCCACGAGCACACCGCCAAACAAGUUUCUGUUGAAAUGUCUUAGCACAACGUUCGUGCACAGUGCACUGCGCUAUAGUCUGCGCAUUACACCGUGGAAUGGUUAACUUUCCGUAAUCGAGGUAUCAAGAAUAUCUACACUCUGAAUCGGUUAAGCUAGGUUAAGUUCCGCCGAUCUAUCGUCCUUGAACUCCAACGCCAAUGAUCCCACAGACUAUGCAGGAAUUCGUUCUUAAUGUGGGGUUCGCAGAUCAACGCUACAAUUUUCAAGAUUGCAAUUUAUAAUUAAUUGAAGCGUAAAUCUCGUAAAAAAAGAAAGAAAGAAGAAAUAAAUCGUAAAAAGAAAAAUAGAAAAAGAGAUCAUUAAUUACUCGUAAAAAAAACUUAUUAAAAUUCUUCUCUCGAGUUAAAAAACAAAAUAAUAAUUAUUAAGUGCGAUGAAGUGCACAGCCUAAUAAAAGAACAACCGUUUUGAUACUUUUUAAAGAUGCGCCGCGAUAAAUUUUCAAGAGGAACCAGUUCGCCACGUAAUAUAAAAACGGACGAUGCAAGAAGUUGUCCACCUCCUUUCUACUAAUUGUCAAAAGUCAACUCGAUACGAGGAGGACGAAUAAUCGCCCCACCGAUAUCUUCAAUCUCUUAAUCCGCGAAUCACGCAAUUGCCACCUGCACGAUCCUAUGUAUAUAUUUGCUAACGACGAAACGGGGGAUUCGAUCUAAACUGAUUUCUAAAUGCACCCGUUUGGACCUUGAACCAAGGUGCAACCGUGUUCCAUUGUUCUCUGCCGACGACCCUUCGUCCUCUCCCCAGACCGACCGAUUGCUCGAUUUUUAGUCGGGUCUGCACACACGAUCGGGACCAUGUCCUCGUCGAGGACAGACGACGAUGCGCACUAGAAUAAUUCCAGAAUAUUGAAAACAUUCAUUAGCUUAAAUUUUAUUGGUUUAACUAUUUCACUAUUAAUUGAUAUUCGAUUAUUAUAAAAUAAUAAAAUGAUGAUAAUAUUUACGAAGAAUUUCAGAUAAAAAUUUAUAGGUUUCUUUUACGUUGUUAUAGAAAUAUUUACGUGUAUUAUUUGGUUUCACAAAUAAUGAAAGAAAAGAUCAAAAAUUGAUAUAUCAUAUUGAUAUAUCUAUUCUUAAAAUUUUUUUGCUUCGUUGAAAUUAAUAAUAAAUAAUAGUUUUAAAUGAUAUUACCUAUACGAUGUUAAGAAAGGAUUAUAACGUAACAUACGAGAAAGUUGACUGCAUUUUAUUAGCGUGUCUGGUGUAUGUAACUCUUUUAUUAUUACUAUAAAGUAGCAAGUUACAAGAUUGUAAAUUAAAUAAAAGUACAAAAAGUGUGGAUUCGUAUAAUCACGAAUGCAUAAAUAUUGCACAGAAAAUAAAAAAAAAAUAUUAUUUCUUUUAUUAAAAGUCAACGUGAUUCAACAAUAAUGCCCAAUAAAACGCAGAUUAAACGACGAGUGUCAGCAAAAUCUUAGGACAAUAAACCUUUCCUUUUUAUACUUUUCUUUUCUAUUUGCUCAAAGUAAAAAAAAAAAAAAAAGAAAGAAAAGGAAAAAGAAAAAAUCCGCACACAAUUGCUUAAAUACUAACCAAACCAAACCAUUAUCCUUAUUCGUUGAAACUUAAAUAAAAUUAUACAUUAUUUGAAGUAAGGACACAUUAGACAAAAUCCCAAGGUUUUUCAAAAUCGUUGCCAGUCAUUCAAAUGACGAAAAGGAAAAAGAGAAAAAGAAAUUUCAACCGCUAACUUUCUCUCUAAUCCUUCGGCAAAAGCGGCUAAUUUUGUUUCUCAUUGUUUGCCGAAAGCAACGACCCGUUGCUUUCUCAAGGCUGUCUCGGGAUGCCACCUUUUGCCAUGAGCACCUGCCGACUUCUGCCGAGCUCGUGCUCUCCCGUGCUCGCUCGUAAAUACUUGCAACUUGUCCUGUAAACGUUGUUUUCCGAAACUUUUGCUCGCAUUCGCUCAUUUUUAUCACGGCCAACGACAAGGGGGACGAGCUGAUCGAGCAACGAGCGGCGAUUUACCCGUCAUACCCCGAAGGGGUGGUUUCUCCCGACAUAUGCGCGCCUUCUGUACACGAAACACGAGCGUGAAAGUAUCGUGUUCGUGCACGUGCCCGUUCGUCGAAUUAAUUUGGUGAUCGCCGCAUAAUCAAUCGGAGUAAUUGAUGAUGGAUACAAUUUUGAUGUAAUUGUGGCCGGAGGGAUGGAAAACGUUCGCGCUUAUCCCCUUCCAGGAUGCUGCAAGAAUUGAGCACGACGUAUCGACGAUGAGGUAUGUAGGUUGGAAUUGAUGCGGGAAGACGAGCCAAGGGUUUGCAGCCCUGAGUGAAAUUAAAUGUAGAUAGUCAAGAGGUGUAUGAGGAAUGUAAUAUACGUAAUGCACCGGUUGUGCAUUGUCUCGUAAUUGGAAGAGAUGUGGCUAAAUUGAAUUAUUUCUAACGGAUUCUGCUCGUUUCGCUUCUACUGCAUAUUUGAUUGUUGAUUUAACGAGUGAGUGAAUUGGAAUAAAAUUCUGAAAUAAACGUAAUAAAAUGAGAAUUUUAGAAGAAUUUUUAACUAAAUUUAACUAAUUCCAAGCAUUCGUAUUACGAGUGGAUGUAUAAUUAUUACUUUUUAUUCACAUCAAAGAGCAGAUAUGUUAUUAACUCCCUUAAUCUCGAUAACUAUAUACUACUCUUGAGUUAUUUACAAAAUCGAUUAAAACGGACGUGAAAUAAUUAGAUUUCGAUCACAGCUUGGAAAAUUUUAACGAGACGAAUCGGUUAAUGUCUUCCAUCGCUUGAAAACCGAAUUAAAGUAUCCACAAUUCACUAUAGCAUUCGCUAUAGAAACUAAAUUACUGCAGUCUGGAGGUAGUAAUUUAAAAUUUUAAAAAGCGAGCGGAGAAAUAGCGAAUACUGGAUCAGCUGCGAAUCCUCGCUGCUCAACCUCCUUCGAUUCUGCCCACGUUGCCUCGCGUUUUCGUGGCUACCAUUUUCACAAGUCUCUACCGGCUGUUCUGCAGCGAACGACCGAAGAAAGCGCAGCCCCGAGAGAUGUUGCAACACGAUACUGUUCGGGCCGUGACCGAACACCAGCCACACCGUGCGUGGCUCUUAAUGUCGCGGCUUAUUACGAGCAAUAACGAUCCACUGUAUGCUACAUUUAUAUCUUAUCAGACCCGACGUUAUGCAUCACGCGCCCCAUAAUAUCAUACUUUUAAAAACGUGUUUCUUUAUGCGGCGGAAAGUCGAGCCCCACGCUCGAUUCCCCAAUCCUCUCGAAUCCUAUCAACGCCACCGAACGAUAGAUUACAGGCGUUCCCCAAACAACCGCUAUCGUUUCAACAGAUUUCCAUCCGCGUCCCUCCGCAAUUACGAACAACAGCGCCCCGACGGAUGUUGAGAAACGGAAUGGUAUUCGUUCCAUCCAGCGAGAAAGAGAGAGAGAGAGAAGGGAAAAAGAAAUCUAAAACAGGGAAGGCUCUCCCCGGAAAACGUACAUCCUUAAGGGGUCGCCCUAAGUGUAAAGGACCCUUAAAGACGGACACGAGGGAGUCGCUGGUUAGCGGCACGCGCUCAUAACCGCGUUUCAGGAUGUGGCGCCAACCGGCUCGUGUUUAACUUAAUAACGAACGGAACAGUUUCUGGCCGGCUGGCGCAUUAGCUAACUCCUCUUCGACGUUCGGCAUGCUCGGCCGUAUUUUUAGCGCAUGCAACCGGUUGCCUUGCACGGCGCGAUCAUUGUCGUCGCUUUGCGAAACUGCACCAACUCCUGCGGGGCGGCGUGUCCUCGCGAGAUCGGCGUACCUACACAUAUCGUAUAUCGUACAUGCGUCCGCCACCUGCACAGACACGCGCGCGCACGCGUCUGAGUGUCGCGUUCGCAGAAUACACCUUGGUGAUUUUUCUGCGCGCACACCGGCUCGCGUUUUGCGUUCGCACGCGCGCUCGAAUACCAGAUCGAGCGAGUUCGCGUGCGCCUAUAUACGGACCGGAGAUCGUGUAUGUGCGAGCAAGGUAUACGCGGCGCUGCGAGGAUGGAGAGAAGAGAAAGAGAGAGAGAGAGGAGGGGGGAAUAUUUCGUUCGAUUUCGAUCGACGGGGUGUAACGGGGGAGAACCGCAUUGCUGGCCUGUGAGUCGACCAAGACUGCUAGGACGACAACGACGACGACGACGACGAUGGUGGCGGCGGUGGUGGAGCCGACGCACGUCUUGUCGCCGAACGGCGUGUCUGAAGGGCAGGGCCGUAUUGCUCGCGGCUAGCACCCAUACGAUACCGCCUCGAGCGAUCCGUUUCGCGUGCCAUCGGGGUGAACGAGGUGUGAAUUUUAAUACGAUCACGCCUGGCCACCGAGCCAGCCGAGGGUAAAUAAGAGUUAGACGCCAUGUCAAGGUGUAUCCUUGUGAUACUUUUGAAUUCCGGUUUUUCGGAAUUCAAAGUUUUGUCGUUCCCGAUGCUAGCUGAUCGUUGGGUAUCGUGAGAUUAUUUGUUAUUUUGAUGGAAACGGUGUAGGAAAUUGGCGGAUAUCUCGGAAUGAAUCACGGAGAUAAUAGGUUGAAAAAAUGUUGGAUAACGAUUGAGCGAUUACUUAGCCAAUUCUCGCUGUGAUUCACGAGUACGAAGCCAGAGAAGCAGCCGGUGCUGACAAUAUUGAUCGACUAUCUAUCCCAAUAUCUGGUUAACCACGAAAUUCGGCGGCCACCCACGCAACGACGUCCGUCGAGCGGGGUCAGCAUGGGUAGCGGCCGUAAGGCCGUUGCACAACGGCGAAAACGCAUAAAUAGCAUGGUAAACGAUGAUAGCGCGGAUAAACUGCCUGCUUUCUAAAUAUACCGUGCUCGGUCCAUUCGCGGAAUGUGCUUCUGACCGCAGUCUAUAACACUUGUCACCUUUCCUGCUCUCACCUUUCCUUGAUCUCUGUUUUUACUAGUUAAGAAGUCGGCAAUAUUACACGAAUACGUAUCCUGUUACAAUUCGAUUCUUGUUUCGACGUAAUUCAAUUGCCAAUCACUUCAAACUUAAUUUUCUCUAUUUUUGAGAAAAAUAAGAGAGGUUGCGAUAGCAUUUUACUAGAUUUUUCCUGUUCCUCGAUAUUAUAUAAGAAUUUGUUUUCUGAUAAAUUUAGACUUCUAUCGCUAUUUCUAUCGAUUGUGAAGAAGCAUUCGUACGUGUUGUGUACGUUGUAAACCGAGCUUCAGUUGGUCUAUAGGCUGGCGUGCACUGAGAGCUCGAAAAUUUGAGUGGUGAAUACUCAAGGUUGGGAACCGUGAAAAAUAAGGAUUAAUUGAGGAACAGACGUAUGUCGGCAAGAUUCAAACAUUUUCGAAUCUUUGAUGAUAUAAUAGAUUCUUUGUAUAUUACGUGGUUUAAAAGAACUCUUGAUUAAAAUAAUAAAUAUAUUAAAUUGAAAAUAUAGUGUAAUAAUAAUGAUAAAAAGAUAAGUAAAGAUAAGAUAAUAGUUAGAUGUGAAAAAAUUUACUUCAAAGAUGAAAAUCUUCACAUAACCUCAAUUCAAGAUCUUUGUAACGAUUCUUAACGUGCCUUAUUGGAAUACAGGGAUAUUUUUCACUCUAUAACCAUUUUGUCGAGUGCACGGUCAUCCUUGGUCGAACCGGAGCUCAAAAGAUCGAUAACAGGACAUAGUGGCGUUUCUAUUUAUAUGGGAGUGCGGUUCGACAUAACCAGAGAUACAAUCCGCGAUACGUGCCAGAUAGAAUCUUCCCAUCCAAUUUUAGUUCGUCGAACUGCGAGGAAUUACGAUAUACAUGAAAGCUCGAAGAAUCGCUCGAUGAAGCUCAUCGCACGAAGAAAAAUAUAAAUUCUUAAUAUUACGUUGGAUGGCAGAACUGAGUCGAAAAUUUCGCAAUUCCCGUUUAUAAUAAUAAUACGAUGAGCUCGUUCGUUUCAAUGGAUUCGUUUCAAGAAUAUUUCAUGCCAGAGAUCAUUCUUAAAGUGUGUGGCUUGUCCAUGGAUUGCUGGAAUUCGAAAGUUAAUAGUCAGAGAUCCAUGGUUAAUUUUACAAAUUAAAACUCGUUCUGUUAUUUUAAAAAUAAGAAAUGUGAUAGGAAUAAAUUUUUCAUCAUCCGUUGAUUCAUAGCAUUUCUUCUUCGUAUUAAGCGCAAUAAUGAAAUUUAAGCGAUACAAGAUUUGUUCGCAAGUAAAUUUCUUUAAUUUCAAGGAAUUUCAAUAUUUUGUGAUAAAAUAAUUUUCAAUUUUUAUUUUCCAUUCUGUUACUGUUGCUGCAAAAUAGUGUAAUUUGUUAAUAUACGUUUAUAAAAAGAAAAUAUAGAUGUGAAAAAUGAAAAUAUAAAUUUUAUUGCCUUUUAUAAGCUCGUGUACUAAGGUACUUUAUCCACUGAGUGCACUAGUUUGCUCAAAUUCAAUUUUCUUUCUUAUAACACCAUUCAAGCCAGGUUCUCGAGCUUGAGAAAAGUUUCUCUCGCUUUAUCUUCGUACAUAACGUAAAAAUGUUGUGUGUAUGAAGAGUAUGAAAAAUAUAAUUAUCUUUCAAAAAAACUGUAUUUUUUUGUUGAAAAAAAAAACUAGUACUUAAUUUAUGAUUACGCCCUUAAUUGCGGCUUUUAAAGGGCAUAAUGUGUAAAGUCGUGUGGCCAUACUAAAAACGAAUUUAUUUAGUCAAAAAUAAAAACCAUUACAAUUUAUAA